rnacentral:rRNA from 1 species
UUGGAGGGCAAGUCUGGUGCCAGCAGCCGCGGUAAUUCCAGCUCCAAUAGCGUAUAUUAAAGUUGUUGCAGUUAAAAAGCUCGUAGUUGAAUUUCGGGAUUCAUCCGUUGGUCGGGCUUCACGGUCCGCACUGGUGUGAUGGGUUCCUACCUUCUGAAUAACCGGCAUGCCAUUAAUUUGGUGCGCCGGGGAAGCAGAACUAUUACCUUGAAAAAAUUAGAGUGCUUAAAGCAGACAAGUGCCUGAAUAGGUUAGCAUGGAAUAAUAAAAUAGGACGGCAUGGUUCUAUUUUGUUGGUUUCUAGGAUCACCGUAAUGAUUAAUAGGGAUAGUUGGGGGCAUUAGUAUUCAAUUGUCAGAGGUGAAAUUCUUGGAUUUAUUGAAGACUAACUUCUGCGAAAGCAUUUGCCAAGGAUGUUUUCAUUAAUCAAGAACGAAAGUUAGGGGAUCGAAGACGAUCAGAUACCGUCGUAGUCUUAACCAUAAACUAUGCCGACUAGGGAUCGGACGAUGUUAAUUUUUUAAUGACUCGUUCGGCGCCUUACGGGAAAC